UCUAGUAAAUUUUGCUACUUCACGGAGUAAUCUGUGAUGACAAAGUGGCUAUAACGGUGAAAUCUUGUGGAGUUUUGGUCUGUUGAUAACCACUACCAGCCUAGUCCGUAGGUAGUGGUACAAUGGUAAGUGUAAACUUACUUGAGGACCAGAAAAACACAAGACAAUACCGUGGGAAGUCGAUCCAAACAUCUUGCUUAUAUUGCUGGAUUUCUUGAUGGAGACGGGAGCUUAAUGCUCCAGAUCAAGAAGCGUAAUGAUGGCGCGCUCAAAAGGCGUUUUAUGCCGACCAUAUGCUUCUAUCAAGACACUCGGCAUGAAAAGCCGUUAAGUUGGGUAAGAGAAGUUCUUGGUAUAGGUUAUCUUUCCAGAAGAAAUGACGGAAUGACCGAACUAAGAAUAAACGGAUAUGCACAAGUGCGAGACAUACUCAAAGCACUUCUGCCCUAUAUCCGCUUUAAGAAACUUCAAGCUAUCGUACUCUGCGAUGCUUGUGAGAUUCUCUCAAAUGCUAAACGAAGACGACUUACAGAUAAGCAAUUAAUUACUUUAGCCAAUCUUAUUCUAGUGAUUCAGGAAGAAAAUUAUGUCACUAAGAAGAAAAGGUCGAAGAGUGAAUUAUUGGAGAUGUUAGGAUUGACCCCGUAACGACUUGAUCUGACGUAUCGUCGGAUCAGACUUGCAUGUUUGAGGAAUCGUCCCGCCAUUGGCGAGGACGACAGCUCAUGCAGGUAAUACGCCAACAUCCUAGUCUGUUUAAUGCAGAAAGGAUGAAGAUAUAGUCUGCGCUCCUAGUGAUAGGGGAAUUACGCGACGAGAGGACCGAGUUGAACCGACCACUGGUGUGUCUGCUGUCCUGCCAAGGGCAUUGUAGAGUAGCUAAGUCGGGAACGGAUAAAUUCUGAAAGCAUCUAAGAAUGAAGCCAACCCCAAGAUUAGGAAUCGUUAUUAGAGCCCUAGGAGAUGACUAGGUUGAUAGGCGCUAGGUGUAAGCACUGCAAGGUGUUGAGCCGAGGCGUACUAAUUGCUCGAAUUCUAUUAGGAA
rnacentral:ncRNA from 1 species